rnacentral:lncRNA from 1 species
UAUUUUACAAAUAUAUUAUAUAUAUAUAUAUAUAAAAAUAAUUUUUUAAAAAAUAAAAAUAAAAACCAAAAAGAAAAGGUUGAAAAGCAUAGAAAAUAAAACAAAAAAAGAAGCCAAGCAAUCAGGAGGUUUGUUGGCGAAGAUUGGUUCGCCCAACGAACGCUUCAACGGCAUAAUUUCCCGGCCAAAAAAACAGGUCUCUUCUUCUUUCGUUUCUCUAAUCACCCAACCAAAAUCCCCUUUUCAUUUUCUAGGGUUCUCCCUUCUUCUUUUUUUUCUUCUAAGUUCUUUCUCUUCCUCUCUGUGAUCAUCAAUUCUCACUAUCUAUUUUCAUAUUUUUUAAUGUCUUUUAGGGUUUCGCUUUGAAGUUUCUUCUUUUCUUUUCUUUUCGCCUUGUUUUUUUAGUGCUCACGAUGGUUAACUGAAGGAGGAGGAGGAGG